GCUAGUUGGUGAGGUAAAGGCUUACCAAGGCGACGAUCUGUAGCGGGUCUGAGAGGAUGAUCCGCCACACUGGAACUGAGACACGGUCCAGACUCCUACGGGAGGCAGCAGUGGGGAAUUUUGGACAAUGGGGGCAACCCUGAUCCAGCCAUGCCGCGUGAGUGAAGAAGGCCUUCGGGUUGUAAAGCUCUUUCGGCCGGGUAGAAAUCGCAUGGGCCAAUACCCUGUGUGGAUGACGGUACCGGAAUAAGAAGCACCGGCUAACUACGUGCCAGCAGCCGCGGUAAUACGUAGGGUGCGAGCGUUAAUCGGAAUUACUGGGCGUAAAGCGUGCGCAGGCGGUUUUGUAAGACAGGCGUGAAAUCCCCGGGCUUAACCUGGGAACUGCGUUUGUGACUGCAAGGCUAGAGUACGGCAGAGGGGGGUGGAAUUCCACGUGUAGCAGUGAAAUGCGUAGAGAUGUGGAGGAACACCAAUGGCGAAGGCAGCCCCCUGGGUCGAUACUGACGCUCAUGCACGAAAGCGUGGGUAGCAAACAGGAUUAGAUACCCUGGUAGUCCACGCCCUAAACUAUGUCAACUAGGUGUUGGGUGGGUAAAACCAUUUAGUACCGUAGCUAACGCGUGAAGUUGACCGCCUGGGGAGUACGGCCGCAAGGUUAAAACUCUAAGGAAUUGACGGGGACCCGCACAAGCGGUGGAUGAUGUGGAUUAAUUCGAUGCAACGCGAAAAACCUUACCUACCCUUGUCAUGCCAGGAACCUGCCAGAGAUGGCUUGGUGCCCGAAAGGGAGCCUGGACACAGGUGCUGCAUGGCUGUCGUCAGCUCGUGUCGUGAGAUGUUGGGUUAAGUCCCGCAACGAGCGCAACCCUUGUCGUUAAUUGCCAUCAUUUAGUUGGGCACUUUAACGAGACUGCCGGUGACAAACCGGAGGAAGGUGGGGAUGACGUCAAGUCCUCAUGGCCCUUAUGGGUAGGGCUUCACACGUCAUACAAUGGUCGGUACAAAGGGUUGCCAAGCCGCGAGGCGGAGCCAAUCCCAGAAAGCCGAUCGUAGUCCGGAUUGCAGGCUGCAACUCGCCUGCAUGAAGUCGGAAUCGCUAGUAAUCGUGGAUCAGCAUGUCACGGUGAAUACGUUCCCGGGUCUUGUACACACCGCCCGUCACACCAUGGGAGCGGGUUCCGCCAGAAGUAGGUAGCCUAACCGCAAGGGGGGCGCUUACCACGGCGGGGUUCGUGACUGGGGUGAAGUCGGAACAAGGUAGCCGUAGGGGAACCUGCGGCAG
rnacentral:rRNA from 1 species